rnacentral:rRNA from 1 species
GGAUCAUUACAAGAAGCCGAAAGGCUACUUCAAACCAUCGCGAACUCGUCCAAGUUGCUUCGGCGGCGCGGCACCCCUUAACGGGGGCGCCGCAGCCCUGCCUCUCCGGAGGUUCGGGGCGCCCGCCGGAGGUACGAAACUCUGUAUUAUAGUGGCAUCUCUGAGUAUAAAACAAAUAAGUUAAAACUUUCAACAACGGAUCUCUUGGUUCUGGCAUCGAUGAAGAACGCAGCGAAAUGCGAUAAGUAAUGUGAAUUGCAGAAUUCAGUGAAUCAUCGAAUCUUUGAACGCACAUUGCGCCCGGUAGUACUCUACCGGGCAUGCCUGUUCGAGCGUCAUUUCAACCCUCAAGCCCUGCUUGGUGUUGGGGCCCUACGGCUGCCGUAGGCCCUGAAAGGAAGUGGCGGGCUCGCUACAACUCCGAGCGUAGUAAUUCAUUAUCUCGCUAGGGAGGUUGCGGCGUGCUCCUGCCGUUAAAGACCCAUCUUUAACCAAGGUUGACCUCGGAUCAGGUAGGAAUACCCGCUGAACUUAAGCAUAUCAAUAAGCGGAGGAAAAGAAACCAACAGGGAUUGCCCUAGUAACGGCGAGUGAAGCGGCAACAGCUCAAAUUUGAAAUCUGGCUUCGGCCCGAGUUGUAAUUUGUAGAGGAUGCUUUUGGUGAGGUGCCUUCUGAGUUCCCUGGAACGGGACGCCAGAGAGGGUGAGAGCCCCGUAUAGUCGGCCACCGAUCCUUUGUAAAGCUCCUUCGACGAGUCGAGUAGUUUGGGAAUGCUGCUCAAAAUGGGAGGUAUAUCUCUUCUAAAGCUAAAUAUAGGCCAGAGACCGAUAGCGCACAAGUAGAGUGAUCGAAAGAUGAAAAGCACUUUGAAAAGAGGGUUAAAUAGCACGUGAAAUUGUUGAAAGGGAAGCGCUUGUGACCAGACUUGUGCCGGGCUGAUCAUCCAGUGUUCUCACUGGUGCACUCGACCCGGCUCAGGCCAGCGUCGGUUUUCGCGGGGGGAUAAAAGCUUCGGGAACGUGGCACCUUCGGGUGUGUUAUAGCCCGUUGCUUAAUACCUCCGUGGGGACCGA